AACAUGACUUUGAUCUGCGUCCUCAUCUGGACUCUCCUCUGCUGCUGCUUCACAGAGUCCAGAGGACAGAUCACAGUGACUCAGCCUGGAGCAGUGAGCUCUGCUGUGGGAGGAUUUGUGGCCUUAACAUGCAAGACUAGUGAAGACAUUUCUAAGAGUUAUUUAGACUGGUACCAACAGAAAGAUGGAGAAUCUCCUAAACUGCUCAUUUACUAUAUUAGCAGUCGAGAUUCAGGGAUUCCAGAUCGUUUUACAGGCAGUGGAUCAAACUCUGACUUCACUCUGACCAUCAGUGGAGUCCAGGCUGAAGAUGCAGCAGUUUAUUACUGUGCAAGUUGGCACUAUCCUAACAGUCAGUGGGUGUUCACACAGUGA